AUUGAACGCUGGCGGCAUGCUUUACACAUGCAAGUCGAACGGUAACAGGCCGCGAGGUGCUGACGAGUGGCGAACGGGUGAGUAAUGCAUCGGAACGUGCCCAGUCGUGGGGGAUAACGCAGCGAAAGCUGCGCUAAUACCGCAUACGAUCUAUGGAUGAAAGCGGGGGACCGUAAGGCCUCGCGCGAUUGGAGCGGCCGAUGUCGGAUUAGGUAGUUGGUGGGGUAAAGGCUCACCAAGCCGACGAUCUGUAGCUGGUCUGAUAGGACGAGCAGCCACACUGGGACUGAGAAACGGGCCAGACUCCUACGGGAGGCAGCAGUGGGGAAUUGUGGACAAUGGGCGCAAGCCUGAUCCAGCAAUGCCGCGUGCAGGAAGAAGGCCUUCGGGUUGUAAACUGCUUUUGUACGGAACGAAACGGUCCUGGUUAAUACCUGGGGCUAAUGACGGUACCGUAAGAAUAAGCACCGGCUAACUACGUGCCAGCCGCCGCGGUAAUAC
rnacentral:rRNA from 1 species